rnacentral:misc_RNA from 1 species
GUGGUGUUUGGUUUGUUACGGGUGGUUGGCUCUUUGCUUGCGCAACAACUUCCACCUGGCAUACCUCUUCAGUCUUGUGUCAAUGCUUGUAUUGCAUUGAAUGCACGGUGGGUUUCUUGUGUUGCAUUCCUAAUUGAUGGUAUCAUUUGAUGAAUUGAUGUCCAUUUUCGUCUUGUGUUGCGCAUGCGAUGUGAGAUGAACCUUAAAGCAGCGUUUGUGAUCCACUCUUUUGAUGCACACGCAUUGAUUUUGUGGCCCAUUGAGUGUUGCUUGGUCUCAUGGAUAUGGAACCUUGUGUGGGCAUGGGAUCUUUUACUAGUUCCUUGUUUGCCCUAGUUAAGUUUUUCAAAUACGAUUUCCUAUCAUGUUUUAACGUGGUAGGCUAUAUCGAAUAUGAAUGC